AUGCAGUCGAACGGCAGCACGGAGCUUGCUCUGGUGGCGAGUGGCGAACGGGUGAGUAAUAUAUCGGAACGUACCCUAGAGUGGGGGAUAACGUAGCGAAAGUUACGCUAAUACCGCAUACGAUCUAAGGAUGAAAGUGGGGGAUCGCAAGACCUCAUGCUCGUGGAGCGGCCGAUAUCUGAUUAGCUAGUUGGUAGGGUAAAAGCCUACCAAGGCAUCGAUCAGUAGCUGGUCUGAGAGGACGACCAGCCACACUGGAACUGAGACACGGUCCAGACUCCUACGGGAGGCAGCAGUGGGGAAUUUUGGACAAUGGGCGAAAGCCUGAUCCAGCAAUGCCGCGUGAGUGAAGAAGGCCUUCGGGUUGUAAAGCUCUUUUGUCAGGGAAGAAACGGUGAAAGCUAAUAUCUUUUGCUAAUGACGGUACCUGAAGAAUAAGCACCGGCUAACUACGUGCCAGCAGCCGCGGUAAUACGUAGGGUGCAAGCGUUAAUCGGAAUUACUGGGCGUAAAGCGUGCGCAGGCGGUUUUGUAAGUCUGAUGUGAAAUCCCCGGGCUCAACCUGGGAAUUGCAUUGGAGACUGCAAGGCUAGAAUCUGGCAGAGGGGGGUAGAAUUCCACGUGUAGCAGUGAAAUGCGUAGAUAUGUGGAGGAACACCGAUGGCGAAGGCAGCCCCCUGGGUCAAGAUUGACGCUCAUGCACGAAAGCGUGG
rnacentral:rRNA from 1 species